AUUGAACGCUGGCGGUAUGCUUAACACAUGCAAGUCGAACGGUAACAGGCCUUCGGGCGCUGACGAGUGGCGGACGGGUGAGUAACGCGUAGGAAUCUGCCUCAUAGUGGGGACAACGUGGGGAAACUCACGCUAAUACCGCAUACGCCCUACGGGGGAAAGCGGGGGAUCUUCGGACCUCGCGCUAUGAGAUGAGCCUGCGUUAGAUUAGCUAGUUGGUAGGGUAAAGGCCUACCAAGGCGACGAUCUAUAGCUGGUCUGAGAGGACGAUCAGCCACACUGGGACUGAGACACGGCCCAGACUCCUACGGGAGGCAGCAGUGGGGAAUAUUGGACAAUGGGCGCAAGCCUGAUCCAGCAAUACCGCGUGUGUGAAGAAGGCCCUAGGGUUGUAAAGCACUUUCAAUUGGGAGGAAACCUGCCGGUCAAUACCCGGCAGCUUGACAUUACCUUUAGAAGAAGCACCGGCUAACUCCGUGCCAGCAGCCGCG
rnacentral:rRNA from 1 species